CUGAGUGCUUUCAAAAUGUAAGAUGAUGCUUGUCAUAGUUGUAAAGAAUAAUUGUUCGGCACCUUCUCUUGUUCUUACCAACAAUUCAAAGUUUGCGCAACGCCUGCCAUUUCAUAUGAUUUUCUCAGAUUAAGCUAAGUAGUUUUCACUCUGUUCCAUUAUUUGUUUUCUUUGUGCAUUCCUAAAAUAAUUUUUCCUUUGCUCUACAUAUUCAUUUGACACUAUUCCCUGGCUGCGAUGGAGAUGAGGCAACUUGCUAGCUGAUAUUUUCAAUGCUAUUCUGCACCAACUGGUAGAAGGUACACUAGAAUGGCAGAAGUGCUAUUUAUUCGAAGGAUCGAGCAUUUCCUUGAGAAGCUGAGGUUGGUCCCUGAUCGUGAAUGAUUGCAGUCUGGUGAAGGUGCUGCCACAGUACUGUAGCGGCUUUCUCAGCGACUUCAGAGGGCUAUUAACACAGCCACGGUAGUGGGGAACUGGAGUUACAUAUAGAGUAACAUAGUCAGAACAAGAGAAGGAAGGCAAGUUCCCCUUCCUAAAGGACAUUAGUGACCCAUUUACAAAUCAUAGAAUUUGGUUUUAAGCCAACAAAGAAAAAGCAUCUGUAAAACUUUAUAUAUAUAUCCAAAUCACAAAAUCAAAUAAUCUAUUCAUAAUGCUUGAAAGUUUCAAUUGUUUAUACUAAAAUCUGGAAAUCAAUGUUGAGAAUGUUAAAGAAGGUAACCCCUCCAUUAAAACAAUGGAGAAAAACUUGAUGGCAAUAUUUAAGCAGUUGUGUGAUAUGUUAUGUCCUGGUAUACUCUAAACUUCAGACUAAUUUUUAUAUUUUAAAAAACUGAUCACAAAGGCUACAAAAAGAUCUCUGCCCAAGGAUCACCUGACUUCUUUUGUGGAUUGAAACCAAUCCCUCAUCUCAAGAAGAAACAAAAGGAAGCUCCCACACUGAUGUUCACUCAUUGCCCUUUAGUGAAACUAAUUCAAAAGGGUAAUUUAAAAUUGAAUGGGUCUAUCAAAUACAAAGGCACUGGCUGUCUCAAACUCUCACAUGUGAAAUCUACAACACAGGAUGUAUAAUCGACCUAACCACCCAUCUUAUUUGAAAAGGGACUUUGAACAUAUACAAUCACAUGAUGAAACAGCCAUAUUUCCUGUUUAUUUUUACAUUUAGUAAGAAGUUGCUUUCAAAAAGAAUUCCACUGAAAGCUAUGGAACUUGCUGCAAGCCAUCCAAGCAUCCAAGGUAAUAACCAACAAUACCUGGAAAGUGGCAGAAGGACCCCCCCACUUCCAACUUCAAGUUCACCCGAGAACCAACUUCCUGGAAAUUUGACUGCAAGAAGCUUUGAAGAUUACUGAGAACCCUCUGCUUUAUAAGACCUUCACUUCAACUAAAGCAUCAACUCAUCUAAGAAACCAUAGGCCUGCCAUGAAAGAAACAGUGAUAACUAUAAGUUGUAACUGUAUUGAUUUACCUUCAUCUGCAUCUAAUCUUUGUCAAUGUGAUAGCGUGUGUGGAAUGAGUGAGGGAGAUGUCACAUUUUAAACAUCUGGGGCAAUUUUAUGAUAAUAAAUAAACUUUUUUAUUUUAAACUCAAAAAAAACCUGCUGCUGAAAUCAUUUAAUUGGGACAAGCACUGAGGGUGAGAAAACACACACCCCCUUACAUACAAACAUAUUGAUCUUUGGCAGUAAAAAGGAAAACAAAUACUGUCCAUGAUAGAUAACAUUACUGAUAGUGACUUAUAGGUUUGAAUACUCAAAGUGACAAUGACAGCAAAUUUUGUCUUGCAAGUCAGAAAUUUCUGUUUUAUUAACAAAUUGGUUGAUUACAGAAAUGUAUGUUGCUGAGAAGGCAUUGAUUAAAUUCCUUGCAGCAAUUUUUUUUUGUAAAAUGUUUCCAAAGUUCGUGUUCCAUGUGGAUGAUUCCAAAUGAAGAUCAUAAUGCUAAAAUUGUUCAAGAAUGUCACUGCUGUGAAGAUUAAGGCAGGCUCACAUUCCACUGCGGUCUUGUGAACCUUGUUACUAUGGUAACAGCUUGGCUGUUCUGCACUAUUAUAAUCACACUGCAUUGCCAACCUCCCUUGAGGGGAUCACAUGCAGCUUUUAUCAUAGCUGAUUAACACAACGCUCAGUUGUGUAAAGUAGAUUGUAAGAUUUAUUUUAACUAUAUCAAUCCAUUAGUGUACAGCUUUUAACUUUCCAUUUCUGUUUUUAUUCUUAAAAUGUGAUUUUAUAAAAAUAUGAUACUUAAAAC